rfam:Camelus ferus unplaced genomic scaffold scaffold389, whole genome shotgun sequence.
GUGGGUAUAGCUCAGUGGUGGAGUGUGUACCUAGCAUGCAUGAGGUCCUAGGUUCAAUCCCCAGUCCCUCCA